rnacentral:rRNA from 1 species
CUCGAAAGAGUAGCUAAUACCGCAUGUGAUCUUCGGUAUAAAAGCUUCGGCGGUUUGGGAAUGGCCUGCGUCCGAUUAGCUUGUUGGUGAGGUAAAAGCUCACCAAGGGCGACGAUCGGUAGCUGGUCUGAGAGGAUGAUCAGCCUGACUGGAACUGAGAACGGUCCAGACUCCUACGGGAGGCAGCAGUAGGGAAUUUUCCACAAUGGGCGAAAGCCUGAUGGAGCAACGCCGCGUGCAGGAUGAAUGCCUUCGGGUUGUAAACUGCUUUUAUUAGUGAAGAAUAUGACGGUAACUAAUGAAUAAGGGUCGGCUAACUACGUG